UACGUAGGGUGCGAGCGUUGUCCGGAAUUACUGGGCGUAAAGAGCUCGUAGGUGGUUUGUCGCGUUGUUCGUGAAAACCGGGGGCUUAACCCUCGGCGUGCGGGCGAUACUGGCAGACUUGAGUACUGCAGGGGAGACUGGAAUUCCUGGUGUAGCGGUGGAAUGCGCAGAUAUCAGGAAGAACACCCGUGGCUAAGGCGGUUCUCUAGUACGGUACUGACGCUGAGACGCGAAAGCGUGGGGAGCGAACAGG
rnacentral:rRNA from 1 species